UCUUAAUAUACCGGUUCUCGUUAGAUCACCGAAGUCAAGCUUGAUUGGGCGCGGUCAGUACUUGGGUGGGUGACCACCUGGGAACACCGCGUGCCGUU